UACGUAGGGUGCAAGCGUUGUCCGGAAUUAUUGGGCGUAAAGAGCUCGUAGGCGGUUUGUCGCGUCUGCGUGUGAAAACCCGAGGCUCAACCUCGGGCCUGCAGUGGGUACGGGCAGACUAGAGGUGCGGUAGGGGAGAUUGGAAUUCCUGGUGUAAGCGGUGGAAUGCGCAGAUAUCAGGAGGAACACCGAUGGCGAAGGCAGAUCUCUGGGCCGUAACUGACGCUGAGGAGACGAAAGCAUGGGGAGCGAACAGG
rnacentral:rRNA from 1 species